rnacentral:lncRNA from 1 species
UCAGGUGAUUCCAGUUUCCCAGUUUGGGAAUAGCACAGCUUCUUCGUUGUUCCAAUCAAACCAGGAUGAAUCACUUUGUGAGAAGCUUGACUUGGAUACAUAAAGUGGUGGAGAAUCACCAGGAAGUUGAAUAAAUCUCAUAGGAGUUGGAAUGAAGAAGUUAUCCCACUUUCAAAUCAGGUGAUUCCAGUUUCCCAGUUUGGGAAUAGAACAGCUUCUUCGUCGUUCCAAUCAAACCAGGAUGAAUCUCUUUGUAAGAAGCUUGAUUUGGAUACAUAAAGUGGUGGAGUGUUGAGAUGAGAUGAGGAAUAAGAAGAGAAUAGUUGAUGGGUUGAGAUAACUGAAGG